CCAAUCUCUUUCUCAGCCAGGUCUGAUUUCUUAUCUUUCAUUUCCCCAAGUGUUCCUCAACCCCCUUUUCAAUAUCCCCCAUAAGAAAUCCCUAAUUUCCUUCAUGAAAUCCCCAAUUGUUCUGCUUGUGCCUUGACAAUACCCCCCGCAGCAGCCGAUGCUUGUCCCCAAGGAUCGAAGUUAGGAAAUUGUGCCUUCAAGACGCUAAAAUUUUCCCAGCCAUUGCAGGAUAAACACGAAGUUGGCCGACUGGAUUAACUUCAGGAGGAUCUCUUGAGGGCCAAAAUAACGAGCCAAGAGUUUCAAGAUUUUUCGAAGAGCAACUAAAGUAUGAUGAUAAGGCUGCAACUUAAGAAAGAUUCUACUGUAUUUCCCUUCAACAUUUCUCAUCUUUUGGGUCACCAAUGACAAUAUUUCCUGAAUCAAUGAGCAGCCCACAUAGUGCUCGAGCCCAUCCCAAUUUCUUUCUCAGCCAGGUUUGAUUUCUUAUCUUUCAUUUCCCGCACGUGUUCCUCAACCCCCUUUUCAAUUCGAAUCCCCAAGUCCAUAUCAGAAAUCCCUAAUUUCCUUCCUCAAAUAUCCAAUUCUUCUGUUUGUACCAUGACAAAAUUUGCUACUGAACGUUAGCUCGUCUGAGAUUCAAAGGAUCAUUUUUCGUCUUGAUGCUUUGGUUUUAUUUUCCUUGAUUUAUUGAGUUAUUUUCUCUCUUUUCACAUUUUUUUUCUUCUAAAAAAUUUGUACUUUUUGUUUUUUUUAUUCUUGAAAUUUCCUCCCGUUUACAAGGUGUGAAGAUGUGCUUGAAUAUGGAUGUAUAAGAGAGAAAAAAAACUGACGAGGAGAGUUUGAAUUUUAUGAGAUUCUUGGAGAAGUUGAGUUGUAGUGGGACAUGAGAUUUGAUGGGACAAUGUAAUUGUUUAUUUUAAAAGAAGUGGUAGUGGCAGUGUCCUCCAAGGAGAGAAACUUGUUGGUUUUUAUUUCUAUUUUUCUGGAAAAAAUGGGCUAUGGUUUUCCUCGGGUUUUUGGUUGUGUAAUAGAUCUGGGUCUAAGUAUUGGGUCCAGACAAAAUUUGUAAUUACAAUUAUAAUAUA